CCUACGGGUGGCAGCAGUCGAGAAUCAUUCACAAUGGGGGAAACCCUGAUGGUGCGACGCCGCGUGGGGGAAUGAAGGUCUUCGGAUUGUAAACCCCUGUCAUGUGGGAGCAAAUUAAAAAGAUAGUACCACAUGAGGAAGAGACGGCUAACUCUGUGCCAGCAGCCGCGGUAAUACAGAGGUCUCAAGCGUUGUUCGGAAUCACUGGGCGUAAAGCGUGCGUAGGCUGUUUCGUAAGUCGUGUGUGAAAGGCGCGGGCUCAACCCGCGGACGGCACAUGAUACUGCGAGACUAGAGUAAUGGAGGGGGAACCGGAAUUCGCGGUGUAGCAGUGAAAUGCGUAGAUAGCGAGAGGAACACUCGUGGCGAAGGCGGGUUCCUGGACAUUAACUGACGCUGAGGCACGAAGGCCAGGGGAGCGAAAGGGAUUAGAUACCCGGGUAGUC
rnacentral:rRNA from 1 species